UAUGAGCUGACAAGCUAAGAGAUCCUGUCAUGAAUGACUACUGUUUUUGACUGUCCAGGCUUCAUUUACCCUCUUCUGGUUAGAAACAGGCUCAGGGAGAUUUGGGCUGUGCCUGGGUUCCACAACCAGCAAGUGACUGAGACAUCGCUUCAUCCAGUUCUUCUGACUUUAAACCCUUCUGCUCUCUCAAGUGUCGGGUGCCGGCCACAGGAUCUUAGUUCCCCGACCAGGGAUGGAACUCAUGCCCCCUGCAGUGGAAGCAUGGAGUCUUAACCACUGGACUGCCAGGGAAUUCCCCAGAAUCUGCUUUUUACCAAGACUCCUCCC